UACGUAGGCAGCAAGCGUUGUUCGGAGUUACUGGGCGUAAAGAGCUCGUAGGCGGUGUGUCGCGUCGGCCGUGAAAACCUGCAGCUUAACUGUGGGCUUGCGGUCGAUACGGGCAUCACUGGAGUUCGGCAGGGGAGACUGGAAUUCCUGGUGUAGCGGUGAAAUGCGCAGAUAUCAGGAGGAACACCGGUGGCGAAGGCGGGUCUCUGGGCCGUAACUGACGCUGGAGGAG
rnacentral:rRNA from 1 species